UGCAGGUGAUGUGAAAGAAUAUUUGCUAUCUGAGAGAUGGUGACGACAUUUUAAACCACCAAGAUCGCUGAUGCA
rnacentral:snoRNA from 1 species